rnacentral:rRNA from 1 species
GAUGAACGCUGGCGGCGUGCCUAAUACAUGCAAGUCGAGCGAACGGACGAGAAGCUUGCUUCUCUGAUGUUAGCGGCGGACGGGUGAGUAACACGUGGAUAACCUACCUAUAAGACUGGGAUAACUUCGGGAAACCGGAGCUAAUACCGGAUAAUAUUUUGAACCGCAUGGUUCAAAAGUGAAAGACGGUCUAGCUGUCACUUAUAGAUGGAUCCGCGCUGCAUUAGCUAGUUGGUAAGGUAACGGCUUACCAAGGCAACGAUGCGUAGCCGACCUGAGAGGGUGAUCGGCCACACUGGAACUGAGACACGGUCCAGACUCCUACGGGAGGCAGCAGUAGGGAAUCUUGCGCAAUGGGCGAAAGCCUGACGGAGCAACGCCGCGUGAGUGAUGAAGGUCUUCGGAUCGUAAAACUCUGUUAUUAGGGAAGAACAUAUGUGUAAGUAACUGUGCACAUCUUGACGGUACCUAAUCAGAAAGCCACGGCUAACUACGUG